UAGCGGCGAGCGAGCGGGAAGAGCUCAAAUUUAUAAUCUGGCGCUUUCGGCGUCCGAGUUGUAAUCUCUAGAAGUGUUUUCCGCGUUGGACCGCACAUAAGUCUGUUGGAAUACAGCGGCACAGUGGUGAGACCCCCGUUCACGGUGCGGAUGCCCAAUGCUUUGUGAUACACUUUCGAAGAGUCGAGUUGUUUGGGAAUGCAGCUCAAAUUGGGUGGUAAAUUCCAUCUAAAGCUAAAUAUUGGCGAGAGACCGAUAGCGAACAAGUACCGUGAGGGAAAGAUGAAAAGCACUUUGGAAAGAGAGUUAACAGUACGUGAAAUUGUUGGAAGGGAAACGCUUGAAGUCAGACUUGCUAUUCGGGGCUUGCUCCGAGUUGCAGGCCAGCAUCAGUUUUUCGGGGCGGAAAAUCACGGAUUGAAGGUAGCAGUUUCGGCUGUGUUAUAGCUUUCCGUUGGAUACGUCCUGGGGGACUGAGGAACGCAGUGUGCUUUUAGCGAGGGCUUCGGCUCUUUCACACUUAGGAUGCUGGUGGAAUGGCUUUAAACGACCCGUCUUG
rnacentral:rRNA from 1 species